rnacentral:misc_RNA from 1 species
CACCACUCAAGCCUCGCUUGGUAUUGGGCGCCGCGGUCCGCCGCGCGCCCCAAUGUCUUCGGCUCAGCCUAACGUCCUCGAAGCGAUUUGAUUACACAAUCCCGCUAGGAGAACGGAGGGCGCGACGCCGCUAAACACCCCAUCUCA